GGAGGAAAAGAAAAUAACAAUGAUUUCCCUAGUAACGGCGAGUGAAGAGGAAAGAGCUCAAAGUUGGAACCUGUUUGGCUUAGCUAAACCGGAUUGUAAACUGUAGAAGUGUUUUCCAGACACGCCUGGUAAAAAAGUCCUUUGGAACAGGGCAUCAUAGAGGGUGAGAAUCCCGUCAUUGGCCAGAGCUGUUGUCUUUUGUGAUACAUUUUCAAAGAGUCAGGUUGUUUGGGAAUGCAGCCUAAAUUGGGUGGUAAAACUCACCUAAAGCUAAAUAUUUGCGAGAGACCGAUAGCGAACAAGUACCGUGAGGGAAAGAUGAAAAGAACUUUGAAAAGAGAGUUAAACAGUAUGUGAAAUUGUUAAAAGGGAACCGUUUGGAGCCAGACUGGCUUAACUGUAAUCAAUCUAGGCUUUGGCCUGGAUGCACUUGCGGUUUAUGCCGGCCGACGACAGUUUUGUUUGAGGGAAAAAAUUACAUUGAAUGUGGCCCUUCGGGGUGUUAUAGCUUUGUAAAAAAUACAUUGGACUGGACUGAGGAACGCAGUGAAUGCAUUUAGGCAAGAUUGCUGGGUGCUUUCGCUAAUAAAUGCUAGAAUUUCUGCUUCGGGUGGUGCUAGUGUUUAAAGGAGGAACUCGCUUAGUAUAUUUUUUAUUCGCUUAGGUUGUUGGCUUAAUGACUCUAAAUGAC
rnacentral:rRNA from 1 species